UACGGAGGGUGCAAGCGUUAUCCGGAAUCACUGGGUUUAAAGGGUGCGUAGGCGGGAUAUUAAGUCAGUGGUGAAAUCUGGUCGCUUAACGAUCAAACUGCCAUUGAUACUGAUACUCUUGAAUUGGGUUGAGGUUAGCGGAAUGUGACAUGUAGCGGUGAAAUGCGUAGAUAUGUCAUGGAACACCAAUUGCGAAGGCAGCUAGCUAGGCCUUGAUUGACGCUGAGGCACGAAAGCGUGGGUAGCGAACAGG
rnacentral:rRNA from 1 species